rnacentral:rRNA from 1 species
UACGUAGGGUGCAAGCGUUGUCCGGAAUUAUUGGGCGUAAAGAGCUCGUAGGCGGUCUGUCGCGUCUGCUGUGAAAACCCGGGGCUUAACUUCGGGCUUGCGGUUGAUACGGGCGGGCUGGAGUUCGGUAGGGGAGACUGGAAUUCCUGGUGUAGCGGUGAAAUGCGCAGAUAUCAAGAGGAACACCGGUGGCGAAGGCGGGUCUCUGGGCCGAUACUGACGCUGAGGAGCGAAAGCGUGGGGAGCGAACAGG